GAUGAACGCUGGCGGCGUGCCUAAUACAUGCAAGUCGAGCGAACAGACGAGGAGCUUGCUCCUCUGACGUUAGCGGCACACGUGUGAGUAACACGUGGAUAACCCACCUAUAAGACUGGUAUAACUUCGGGAAACCGGAUCUAACACCGUACAAUAUAGUUAACCGUAUGGUUCAUUAGUAAAGUACUUCUUUUGUGUCUCUUAUAGAUGGAUCCGCGCCUCUUUAGCUAGUUGUUAAGGUAACGGGUUACCACGGCAACGAUGCGUAGCCGACCGGAGAGGGUGAUCGGCCACACUGGAACUGAGACACGGUCCAGAGUCCUAAGAGAGGGAGCAGAAGGGAAUGUGCGGCAAUGGGCGAGAGCAUGACGGAGCAACGCAGAGUGAGUGAUGAAGAUGUUCGGAUCGUAAAACUCUGUUAUGAGGGAAGAACAAAUGUGAAAGUAGCAAUGCACGAAUUGACGGUACCUGCUGAGAAAGCAACGGCUAACUACGUG
rnacentral:rRNA from 1 species